CUUCCAGUAGCACCUUAGAGACCAACUAAGUUUGUUACUGGUAUAAGCUCAUACCAAUAACAAACUUAGUUGGUCUCUAAGGUGCUACUGGAAG